AUUGAACGCUGGCGGCAUGCCUUACACAUGCAAGUCGAACGGUAACAGGUCUUCGGAUGCUGACGAGUGGCGAACGGGUGAGUAAUACAUCGGAACGUGCCUAGUAGUGGGGGAUGACUACUCGAAAGAGUGGCUAAUACCGCAUGAGAUCUACGGAUGAAAGCAGGGGAUCGAAAGACCUUGUGCUACUAGAGCGGCCGAUGGCAGAUUAGGUAGUUGGUGGGAUAAAAGCUUACCAAGCCGACGAUCUGUAGCUGGUCUGAGAGGACGAUCAGCCACACUGGGACUGAGACACGGCCCAGACUCCUACGGGAGGCAGCAGUGGGGAAUUUUGGACAAUGGGCGAAAGCCUGAUCCAGCAAUGCCGCGUGCAGGAUGAAGGCCUUCGGGUUGUAAACUGCUUUUGUACGGAACGAAAAGCCCUGGGUUAAUACCCUGGGGUCAUGACGGUACCGUAAGAAUAAGAACCGGCUAACUACGUGCCAGCCGCCGCCGUAAGAC
rnacentral:rRNA from 1 species